rnacentral:rRNA from 1 species
GUCUAUGGCCAUGCCUGUGAGUCAUUCUGAAACACGUCCAAUCUUGUCUGAUCUCAGAAGCUAAGCAGGGUCAAGCCUGGUUAGUGCAUGGAUGGGAGACUACCUAGGAAUAUUGGGUGCUGUAGGUG